rnacentral:rRNA from 1 species
AUGUGGGUGAUGCUACUCGCCUCCAAGGAUGAGGCCGAGCGAGCCAUCGUCAAGAAGCAAGCGGCAGCAGAGGUCGAGUGCGGCCACAAGCUGCACGUGCUACGCACAGACUAUAGCAGCGAGUUUACGUCGGCCACGUUCUACAAGCACUGCGACGAGAAAGGGGUGCAACAUCACCUCACAACUCCUUACUCGCCGCAACAGAAUGGCAUCGUCGAGCGGAGGAACCAGACAGUGCUCGGGAUGGCACGCUGCAUGCUCAAGGCAAAGCAGGUGCCGAGCACGUAUUGGGGGGAGGCCGUGCUGACGGCCGUCUUCAUCCUCAACCGCUCCUUCACAAGGAGCGUCGACGGCAAGACGCCUUACGAGGCGUGGUAUGGGAGGAAGCCCGAUGUGCGCUUCCUCCAUACCUUUGGCUGCGUCGGGCAUGUCAAGACGACGCGCCCACAGCUGAAGAAGCUCGAUGACAGGAGCACCCCAAUGGUGUUCAUGGGCUACGAGACAGGCUCUAAGGCGUAA